UACGUAGGGUGCAAGCGUUGUCCGGAUUUAUUGGGCGUAAAGAGCUCGUAGGCGGCUUGUCGCGUCGUCCGUGAAAACCCACAGCUCAACUGUGGGCUUGCGGUCGAUACGGGCAGGCUAGAGUUCGGUAGGGGAGACUGGAAUUCCUGGUGUAGCGGUGAAAUGCGCAGAUAUCAGGAGGAACACCGGUGGCGAAGGCGGGUCUCUGGGCCGAUAUUGACGCUGAGGAGCGAAAGCGUGGGGAGCGAACAGG
rnacentral:rRNA from 1 species